rnacentral:rRNA from 1 species
AGAGUUUGAUCCUGGCUCAGAACGAACGCUGGCGGCGUGCUUAACACAUGCAAGUCGAACGCGAAAGGGACUUCGGUCCCGAGUAGAGUGGCGCACGGGUGAGUAACGCGUAAGUGAUCUACCCCUGUAUUUGGGAUAACUAUGGGAAACUGUAGCUAAUACCGGAUACGUUCAUGUUCUUGCGAGUAUAUGAAGAAAGAUGGCCUCUGAUUCAAGCUAUUGUACAGGGAGGAGCUUGCGUACCAUUAGCUAGUUGGUAGGGUAAUGGCCUACCAAGGCAACGAUGGUUAGCGGGUCUGAGAGGAUGAUCCGCCACACUGGAACUGAAACACGGACCAGACUCCUACGGGAGGCAGCAGUGAGGAAUAUUGCGCAAUGGGGGCAACCCUGACGCAGCGACGCCGCGUGGAUGAUGAAGGCCUUCGGGUCGUAAAAUCCUGUCAGAUGGGAAGAAGUGUGUGGUUGCUAAUACCAGCUGCAUUUGACGGUACCAUCAGAGGAAGCACCGGCUAACUCCGUGCCAGCAGCCGCGGUAAUACGGAGGGUGCAAGCGUUGUUCGGAAUUACUGGGCGUAAAGCGCGCGUAGGCGGUUUGUUAAGUCAGAUGUGAAAGCCCAGGGCUUAACCUUGGACGUGCAUUUGAAACUGGCAGACUUGAGUAUUGGAGGGGGUGGUGGAAUUCCCGGUGUAGAGGUGAAAUUCGUAGAUAUCGGGAGGAAUACCGGUGGCGAAGGCGACCACCUGGCCAAAUACUGACGCUGAGGUGCGAAAGCGUGGGGAGCAAACAGGAUUAGAUACCCUGGUAGUCCACGCCGUAAACGAUGAGAACUAGGUGUUGGGACGGUUGAUCGUCUCAUUGCCGCAGCUAACGCAUUAAGUUCUCCGCCUGGGGAGUACGGUCGCAAGAUUAAAACUCAAAGGAAUUGACGG